rfam:Basidiobolus meristosporus CBS 931.73 K493scaffold_1175, whole genome shotgun sequence.
GCUCUUGUGGCGCAAUUGGCUAGCGCGUCUGACUGUUAAUCAGGAGGUUGGUGGUUCAAGCCCACCCAGGAGCG